rnacentral:lncRNA from 1 species
GCCUCCAGCUUGCGCAUCAUCUGCGGCCGGGUCCCGAUGAGCCUCCUGUUGCCUCCGCUGGCGCUGCUGCUGCUUCUCGCGGCGCUUGUGGCCCCAGCCACAGCCGCCACUGCCUACCGGCCGGACUGGAACCGUCUGAGCGGCCUAACCCGCGCCCGGGUAGAGGGAUAAGGAAGUAUGGCUUUGGGGAUGUGACUGGAAUAAACGUGAAGGACUCCUGACCUAUCCCAUUUUAUCCCCCUCCAGACCUGCGGGGGAUGACAGCUGAACCGCCUAAAGGAGGUGAAGGCUUUCGUCACGCAGGACAUUCCAUUCUAUCACAACCUGGUGAUGAAACACCUCCCUGGGGCCGACCCUGAGCUCGUGCUGCUGGGCCGCCGCUACGAGGAACUAGAGCGCAUCCCACUCAGUGAAAUGACCCGCGAAGAGAUCAAUGCGCUAGUGCAGGAGCUCGGCUUCUACCGCAAGGCGGCGCCCGACGCGCAGGUGCCCCCCGAGUA